UACGUAGGGGGCAAGCGUUGUCCGGAAUCAUUGGGCGUAAAGAGCGUGUAGGUGGACUGGAAGGUCUGGUGUGAAAGCCCGGGGCUCAACCCCGGAGGGUCACCUGAAACCGACAGUCUUGAGUCCGGAAGAGGAGAGUGGAAUUCCUGGUGUAGCGGUGGAAUGCGCAGAUAUCAGGAGGAACACCAAUGGCGAAGGCAGCUCUCUGGUACGUGACUGACACUGAGACGCGAAAGCGUGGGGAGCGAACAGG
rnacentral:rRNA from 1 species